rnacentral:rRNA from 1 species
GAUGAACGCUGGCGGCGUGCUUAACACAUGCAAGUCGAACGAUGAAGCCCAGCUUGCUGGGUGGAUUAGUGGCGAACGGGUGAGUAACACGUGAGUAACCUGCCCUUGACUCUGGGAUAAGCCCGGGAAACUGGGUCUAAUACCGGAUAGGAGCGCCUGUCGCAUGACGGGUGUUGGAAAGAUUUUUCGGUCAUGGAUGGACUCGCGGCCUAUCAGCUUGUUGGUGAGGUAAUGGCUCACCAAGGCGACGACGGGUAGCCGGCCUGAGAGGGUGACCGGCCACACUGGGACUGAGACACGGCCCAGACUCCUACGGGAGGCAGCAGUGGGGAAUAUUGCACAAUGGGCGGAAGCCUGAUGCAGCGACGCCGCGUGAGGGAUGACGGCCUUCGGGUUGUAAACCUCUUUCAGUAGGGAAGAAGCGAAAGUGACGUACCUGCAGAAGAG